AGCGAACGCUGGCGGCAGGCCUAACACAUGCAAGUCGAGGGGCAGCAGGUCUUCGGACGCUGGCGACCGGCAAACGGGUGCGGAACACGUACGCAACAUACCCUUUACAGGGGGAUAGCCCGGAGAAAUCCGGAUUAACACCCCAUAGUGUAGCUGGGAGGCAUCUCCCUACUACUACAAAUUUAUUGGUAAAGGAUUGGCGUGCGUCCCAUUAGAUAGUUGGCGGGGUAACGGCCCACCAAGUCAGCGAUGGGUAGCUGGUGUGAGAGCACGACCAGCCACACGGGCACUGAGACACGGGCCCGGCUCCUACGGGAGGCAGCAGUGAGGAAUAUUGGUCGAUGGACGCAAGUCUGAACCAGCCAUGCCGCGUGGAGGAUGACAGCCUUCUGGGUUGUAAACUUCUUUUAUAUGGGAAGAAAAGUACGGUUUCUAGUGUAUCCGACGGUACCAUAUGAAUAAGCACCGGCUAACUCCGUGCCAGCCGCCGCGGUAAAAC
rnacentral:rRNA from 1 species